UACGUAGGUGGCAAGCGUUGUUCGGAAUUAUUGGGCGUAAAGGGCGCGUAGGCGGUUUGUUAAGUCGGUCGUGAAAGCCCGGGGCUCAACCCCGGAGGGUCGACCGAUACUGGCAGACUAGAGUACAGAAGAGGUAACUGGAAUUCCCGGUGCAGCGGUGAAAUGCGUAGAUAUCGGGAGGAACACCAGAGGCGAAGGCGGGUUACUGGGCUGAUACUGACGCUGAUGCGCGAAAGCCAGGGGAGCAAACAGG
rnacentral:rRNA from 1 species